ensembl:snRNA U6 U6 spliceosomal RNA
GUGCUCACUUCGGCAGCACAUAUACUAAAACUGGAAUGAUACAGAGAAGAUUAGCAUGGCCCCCGCACAAGGAUGACACACAAAUUGGUGAAGCAUUCCAUAUUAAA